rnacentral:rRNA from 1 species
UACGGAGGGGGCUAGCGUUGCUCGGAAUCACUGGGCGUAAAGCGCACGUAGGCGGCUUUCUAAGUCAGGGGUGAAAUCCUGGAGCUCAACUCCAGAACUGCCUUUGAUACUGGAAAGCUUGAGUUCGGGAGAGGUGAGUGGAACUGCGAGUGUAGAGGUGAAAUUCGUAGAUAUUCGCAAGAACACCAGUGGCGAAGGCGGCUCACUGGCCCGAUACUGACGCUGAGGUGCGAAAGCGUGGGGAGCAAACAGG